rnacentral:tRNA from 1 species
GUGUCUGUCGCCUAAUGGAUAAGGCAUCUGACUUCAGAUCAGAAGACAGAGAGGGAGAAGCCUGAGUACCACUCUGCUACA